ensembl:lncRNA
GUGGAGUGUUCCGGAACUCGGAUAACCUCAUUUUAAUGAUGCAAUUAAAAUGGCCACACUUUGUGAUGGAAAAUCCACAUGUUGUAUUGUUUUGGUCUUUGUAUGAAUUUAAGUUUUGUUGCUAUUCUGUGUAAUUUAAGAUAGGGCCUACGUUCUACUCCAUGCGGGUCAUUUAAAGUGUAAACCGUCAAGGGUUGAGUGAUGCAUUUUUAUUGCCUGCCCUUUCCUAUGUUUCUUGUCUUGUAAAACACCCUCCAUGCAAUCCUUUGAUGUGUGGGCCCGUUUUCUCGACCCCCUGGCUAGCGUCAACAAAGCCAGGGGGUCGAUGACACGGCCGCUGCCCCCUCCAAUGGCAUUCCCCACAGCUGCAGUUGUAAAGAUAACCAUCUGGUACACAAAGGCUUUUGGUAUUGGGGGGACCACCCCCUAAUAAACCCAAACGAAUAAGAACUCAUUGAUUGGAAAACUCAGUGGACUUCUCCCCAGCGUACCUUGAGUAUGAAGUAACAUGCAAAGAGAAGCUCCCAUCUGAGGCCUCAGAUUAUUGUAAUGUGUCUGCCAAGUCAGGUCUGAGGAUUCGGUCUCAGUCCCAAAGCUCCACCUCGCCUCCAGGUGACUGUAACCAGACUAAUGGGGUCGAGCGAAGGGUGUCUGUGGGGGAUGAAGUAGGGGUUCUUCAGUACGGUAUCCAAAGGAAAAAGAAUUCGAGCAGGUGAGAUCACAAUACUGUUAAAGCUUCCAAAUAAAAUCCGUUACAGGAACGGUAUAUAAAUGUUUCUGUAAACGUAAACUUAUAUCUGAACUUAGGCCUCGUUCAAAGAAACUCUGUUAUAGGAACAUGCGGUAGCUCCGUUUCGCUUCCGUCAAUAUAUAUAUGGCUAUAUAGGUAACAGAAAGGGCAGCUAGAGUCAUAAUAGGUAUUCAUUAAUAAAUAUAUGUAUAUGUGUGUAGUAACAAGGAGGUUUCGGCGAUAUUAGAUAAUUUUUUAAAUAAUAACUAUAGUGUAAAAGGAUCUAAAAUAUGGGGAACAAAUCUGGAAAAACUGAGAUAACGGGGCCUGCGAAGGUGAUGUUGGAGAAGCAUGGUGAAUCGGCUCUGGAGGGUUUAAAAUAUUGGUGCAAACUGGGUUUUCCUGGAAUGGGGAGUUUUAGCUUAAAACGAUUACAGGAGUUAGAGAAACGAUUGUUGGAGUCAGAAAUGAAAAAGAAAAGUUCCAAACUAUGUUGGUGUGCAUUUUAUUUGUGGGAAAGAGAGGGCCAGGAUAGGAAAAAAAAAUCAGCCAGGGACAGAGAGCGUAGAGAGUGUAGGGAUUUUUAAUCUCAAUGUCACCCGAGAUAUAGAGCCGGACCUGGACUGCACCGGCGGACCGCGUGCGAGUCCCCCUUCACCUCCCCCGUAUGACAACGCCCAGGAAACCGCCGAAUCGGACAAUCUCUACCCUGACCUCAAAGAUGAGGAGAAAACACCCGUAUGCAGCACGGCAAGAGAUAGGCCUGCAACUCGUAGCCAGAGGAAAGCUCCACA